UUCUCCCUGAGACUUUAGGUCUCCUGAAGGAACGUUGAAGACGACGACGUUGAUAGGCCGGGUGUGUAAGCGCAGCGAUGCGUUGAGCUAACCGGUACUAAUGAACCGUGAGGCUUAACCUU
rnacentral:rRNA from 1 species